UUUGGUUUAAGUAUCUCCUACAAUUGUUUUGUUAAUUUAGGAGUUUGGUUUAAGUAUGCUUCAUUCGACUUUUGGAUUUAAGGGCCUGUUUGGAUCACUACCAACGCUGGCCUUACCAAUAAAUUGGUCAGCCCGUGAUUUUCGGCCACUGUUUGGAUCGAUGCCAAAUUUGGCUCGCCCUGCUCGAGCGCGGCCCUGUGUAAAUUUCGCCAACGCGAGGGCGCCGCGAGGGCGUGGAAAACGUCCGCCAAAAUUUUGGCGACCAAAUCGGACGUGAUUUCUCGUCCUGGCAUAGAAGCUAAGCUAAGCAUCAAUUUCCUUUUCCAUUACUUUCUCUCCUAAACUGCAGUGCUGCACACCGCGAGGACAACAGAGAAGGCCCUCAGAUCUGCAGCGUCGCCGGUCGGCCGGCGGUGUGAACCGGCGUCUCCACCUUUCUUCCUCUCCUCUCCACGGAUUCAAGUUGCACCCCAAGACAGCAUCCAUCGACAUUGCUCAAAGGACAUGGCUGACAUCAUAUUGAGCUUCAUAAGGACAAAUCAGUGACUUUCAAGUUCAAGAAACAACACCACCUGCAGUGUGGAGAUGCUCUGAAUGGCAAGUUUUCUCAGACUUGGGUGCAUAGCAGGUCAUAGUGUCUUAAAUGAUCUCGAAUUGUUUGGUGAUGGGUGUGUUAGUUUAUGAACCUGAUUUUGUUUUCACGGCUAGAUCUGGUGUUUGAAUAUUGUAUGGCCUAAUAUAUGAAUCGAUGUUGUUGUGAAUUUUCAGUAUGCAGUGGUACUAUAUUCAGUCA